UGGGCUCCCUCUUAGGGUUUUGUCCCUUUGGGUUUAUUAAUGAAUAUUACCACUUUGACCAAAAAAAAAGAGAAAAGCACCAGCCAUAAUUUGACAAGGAAAAAACAUAGACAUCGAUCAAUUUACUCAACUCUUGUGAGCCCUCUCAUUCUCUUUCUCAAUCUCGCCGUCGAUUUCAAUAAUCUUGAGAAGCCAUCGCCACCACCAAGAUCUCUCUCACUAUCGCCGCUGGUCUCGUGAUCUCUCUCACUAUCGCUGCCACUGUCAGUGCCAAGAAAGAUAAAGAGCCUCCUUCUUCUAUUGGAGAUGCCUCCGAUAGGGUAAAGAAGUAUUCAAUUUGCCAAAACUUCAGUAUCUGUAAGUGUACUCAAAAAUAAAACAAGAACACGAACUACAAAGAGAAACCUCUAAGCACUCCCCCACCCAAUUGAUCCAAAUGGAACGUGUGGGACACAGAAAGGGGAAGACAAUUAUGCUUAACUGCCACAAAACGAUCCUAAAGAUCAAAGUUUGCUAAUCUGUCUACCACAAAAUUGGCCUGGCCUUCCUGAAAAUAUUCCUGAACCUUAUGAAAGAGAAAGAAGACGCAAUAUGCCAAAUAUCUUCCACCAAAGUCUAAAUCCGCCAAGGAGUAGCUACCUUCUUGAGGAUGCAAUCCAUAAGCACUUUAGAAUCUCCAACGGAAAAGUUAUAAUGUUGAGCAGCAUGUAAAGCAUCCCUGAGAGCUGUAGCUUCUGCAAUGAGAAUUGAAGCAGGUCCCAGAUUCUUAGAAGCAGCAAAAAUAGGUUGACCAUCCGCAUUCCAAAAAACAAAGCCAAGAGUAGCAUUACCUUGCUGGACAGAACCAUCAAAAUUUAUCUUAAUUUUAUCAUGA